GCUCGGGGACUAUGUUUCCCAGGGGCCGUCGCGGCGGGCCGGAAGGGGCGGGCCCCCUGCCAGUGCUCACGCGCGCCAGUCCGGCUGGUUAUAUAAGGGAGGCUCCGGCCGCGUUCGUUCUUUUGCUUCGGAGGUGCUUGUGGUGUGUGGUAGUUUUGUUCGCGAUCCUCGGCAUGUCUUCCUUCGCUGCCCACCACGUUUGUUUAAUGGUUAACGCAAUUGGAUUCAGAAUGGAUGUUGCAAGACGGGCUCACCUCUGGGCUUCCACGGGAACCCCACUUUCUGUCUUCGGAGCUCUGGGGUUUGCUACCAGAAACCAGGGUUUGAAUGAACAAGGAUGAAUUCCAGGAGUGUGAAAGGAUUGGAGUCCUGGGUGCUACUAUGUUGACAUUAGUCUAAUCUGAUGUCUUUGCUUCAGUCCGUCCUGCAACAGAAGUUGCUCAGCCAUGGAGUUGGAGUACAAAUACUGAAAGAAAAAGGAGUCCUGUGUUUCCAGCUGAACCAAUCCCACAAGGUGUUUGUGUACUUAGCUGGAGGGCUAGCCCCAGUUGAAGGCUGUACUCCCCCCUUUCUUGAAAAAUUCAAGAAUUAAAUUUCUGACUGUGUAGCAUUUCUACCUGCAGAAAGAAUAAAAGAAAUUAAAACUUG